rnacentral:rRNA from 1 species
GACGAACCGUGCGAACGUUGUUCGGAAUCACUGGGCUUAAAGGGCGAGUAGGCGGCUUGUCAAGUCAGGGGUGAAAUCCUGCAGCUUAACUGUAGAAGUGCCUUUGAUACUGACGAGCUCGAGGGAGGUAGGGGUCGCUGGAACUUCUGGUGGAGCGGUGAAAUGCGUUGAUAUCAGAAGGAACGCCGGUGGCGAAAGCGAGCGACUGGAUCUCUACUGACGCUGAGGCGCGAAAGCUAGGGGAGCAAACGGG